rnacentral:rRNA from 1 species
GACGUAGGGGGCCAGCGUUGCUCGGAAUUACUGGGCGUAAAGGGUCCGUAGGCGGUGUGGCAAGUCGGGAGUGAAAUCUCUGGGCUUAACCCAGAGGCUGCUUCCGAAACUGCCGUGCUGGAGUGCGGGAGAGGCGAGUGGAAUUGCAGGUGUAGCGGUGAAAUGCGUAGAUAUCUGCAGGAACACCAGAGGCGAAAGCGGCUCGCUGGACCGCAACUGACGCUGAGGGACGAAAGCUAGGGGAGCAAACAGG